GUUUGCUUCAGCAGAGCAUACACUAAAAUUGGAAUAAGACAGAGAAGAUUAGCAAGGAUGACAUGCAAAUUCUUGAAGUGUUCCAUAUUUAA
rnacentral:snRNA from 1 species